GGUUUGGUGGUGGAGAAAGAGGGAGAGUGAAGAGGUAUUUAUAGGAAGAGAAGGAUAGGAUUAUCCGAAGAGGAGACAAGGGUACUGUUUUGGGCGGUUGAAUGCAUGAAUAACAUGCGCCAGAAAAGAGUAAUUGUUUGAAUACUCAUCGAUGGAUGUUAAAGAGGUGCUUUUGCAUCCUCAUCUCCACUCUGCCUCCGGUUGAUAGCUGAUGGUAUCGUAAAGCUCCUACAAUCAUUUGAAUCGUGGUUAUUGAUGUUUGUCCAUGAGAACCAAAAUCAUAUGGCUACUGAAAUUACAAAGAGUGUCAUUCUCAGACAAAGCUUCCAAUCCUACAUUGCAUGGGAGGGUCCAACUUGGCUCCAUCAUCGGAUUUCUCAAGAAACUUCUCCGGGCUAAAGGGUUGAUCCAUCUUUCAAGUUCUGGCUUGGGAUUGCUAUCUUAUAGCAUUAGUCCUUCUCAUCUGCCUCCAUCUUUCAGCAUGAGGUUUGUUUGUUUGUUGUGGUAUCUACUUGUAUUUCUUUCCUUCUUUUUUUUUCUUUGUAUCUCUUUCCUUUGUUUUCUGUUUUGCUCUUCCUCUGUUGUUUUUUCAACUCUUUUUUUUUUAUAACUAUGGUGUGAUUCUAAAAAGUUUAUAGGUCCAAUGAUUAAUCACCGCGAGACCUGCAUAAUUCGCGUUUUCUUACCACUUAAGGUAUUCCGGGUGACAAAAAAAAAUUAAACCUAGAGCGGUACCGGAAGUAGUAGCUUUGUUUUGGUUUUCAGAACCUUUUAGAAUUAUUAAGCUCCAACUCUGUAGUAGCUUUGUUUUGGUUUUCAGAACUUAAUGUAAUGAAAUUUGAAGUGUUAAAAAGCGUCAUAUUAGUUUCUGUUUUUGGAACUUAAUUGUUACUAUCUACUACUGAUAUGGACCUUCGAAUUUCUCUGACCUUUUCUUUUCACCCUUUUAAUUCCUUUUGUUAAACUCAAAGUUCGGAUUGCAAAAAGUCAGAAAUAAUAUGUAAGGACAUAUACUACGCUGGUAGAUAUAUUCCAGUUGUUUUUUUUGGAUUUUUAAAUUAGGUAAAGAGAAAAAAAAGGAAUAUAACUUUCGAAUUUCGAUCCGAGCGAGUGGCGCACUGGAAUAAGUUUCGGCGUUACACUAUUUUUAUAAAAUAUAAUUAUUAUUUUCAGACGUAAAUAGGAUAUCAUACACAUAAUAUAUAUACAGUAUAUAUCAAUACAAAAAAUAAAUAAAAACAUCUCUGUCUGGUAGAUAUUUAGAUGAACUGAUUAUGUUUUUGACGGUUUUGUAACAGUAUGUUCAACUCUUCUACUGUUGAUUACCUCAUGAUACAACUACUUUAUACGCAUUUUAUGUGAUUAACCAAGUAAGAGAGGUUAUAUUUAGUUACAAUGGUAUCAAUCAAACUUAUAAAUGCAUUAAAUAACUUGAAAUAUAUAGUUGGUAUGUUAUUUUAUGCAUGAAUAUAAUCACUAUUUCUUUUAACAAGUAAUUAUAUGCUUUCAAGAUAUUUUAAAAAUAUACAGUGUGAAGAGAAUAAUGACAGAGAAGGAUACCAUUUGGCAAUCACAUAAACAAAAUAAUACCCCAGAAGAUAGUUACAGAAAUAUUUAUCAAUAUAUAUGUUUUGGUAAAUUAGUAAAGAAGGUUCUUUGUCAAAAAAAAAAAAAGUAAAGAAGGUUGUCUUAAAUUUUGAAGACAGUUUGUCUACAGAUUCUCUGAUCUACAUUUAAAUGGAUAUAAGCAGGCAUAUCUGGGUCUUAUUAAGAUAUUAGGAUCACAUGUUUGUCCAUUUGUUCCGUUAUCUUCGAAGUCUCGCACCUAUCAGCAAUAUUGUGGACUCACUACUAAUAAAUAUGUUAUGUAGUGCAGGAGUGGUAUCAGUACAUAUAUGUAUGUUUGUGUUCCUUAAUUCCACCGGAAGUGUGACAUAAUUAUGAAACUUCUAAAAUUGAUCAUUCAACUAUUUCUCCAACUAAUUCAUCUUCAGGCUAUAUAUAUGAUUAUUUUUUACUAAUUUUUUUAACCAUUCUCUUUGAAAAUGACAUAAUAGUAAAUGUUUGAAUUACUUUCAUGCAUCUUUUUGCUAGAUAAAUUGUGGAUUACAGUAUUUGUUAUAUACAUAUAAACUAAAGCUAAUAAAACACACAAAAAACAGAACUGAGAAGUUAUAAGGAAUUUAUGGCUUUCAUACAAAUUUUGCAUGAUUUUAGAUAUGUUCGAAAAAUACACGUUAUAGGAUUGGUUACGAGUAGCCUUAGUCAAAAUAUUAUAAGAUAAGGAGAAGUCCUUGUACAUAUGAAACAUAAAAGAAAGAAAUUUGUUGUUUAGAAAAUAGAGCAAAAGAAGUAAAAAAAAAAAGUAGAGAUCGGUACGUGAGAAGACAUAAUUAAAUAGCUGGAAAUUGUUGUUUUGGUUACAAAAUGAAGGUUUUAGCUAAUGUAUAAAAUUGUGCUAAAAAAAAGAAAGCUAAUGUAUAGAAAUAUGUUAAAUUGUUGUGACUUGUGAAAGUAAAUGUCUGUCUCAGGACAAUUUUGUUUGUUAAUCUCUCAAGUUGAAUUACAGAGUAAACUUGUUUGUUUUGAAGGUGAAAAAUGAUGUCAACUGAGAUUUGAAUAUAUAUAUAUAGUAUAUACAUAUCUUGUCGAUUGUUGAAACAUUAAUUGUGGUGGGAGUAUAAUUGUUAGUCUAGUGAUAAAAUCCUAAAUAACUGCACAAAUACAAACUAUUUUCAAAUAAAAUGGCUGAUUUUUGUCCGUCCACAAAGAAUAACAGAUUAAAUUAAAAAACAAAAGUGGAAGUUCAAAAAUAAAUAAAGAAGAUUGCACGCACCAAAAAUAACCAACUCUCAAAAGAGAGUAACAAUUUAACAAAAUCUGGUAAAUGUCUCCCACAUAACAAAGUGGACACUGUAUCAUUGCAGUUCAAAUGCAAAUAAUUUCAUGGUUUAUUAUAAUAAUAAUACAGAGUAAUUGUGUGAAACAAUAUGAAACCAGUCCCUUCGGGAUCAUCCGAUAAAAUUGAAAUGAUAUACAGAAGAUUAGCAUGGUUCCUGCGCAAGGAUGACACGUACAAAUCGAGAAAUAGUCAAAAUUUCUUCAGUUAAAAAAAAAACAAUAUGAAACCACAAUAAUAUAUAUAAUUAAAAAGUUCAGAUGAGAAUGUAUAAUGGCCUUGUACUUUAUUUUGGUGAAUGAUUGCAGUUUUAUUAAUUCCAAAACAUUAGGGUCGGGGAUUGCAACUACAAAAGAAUUUUGUAGUUAGUUUGUGUUCAAAGAUUUGUGCUUUGUUCCAUCAUUAUGCACCCGUAGUUGGUAAUGACUCGGCAACAUGGGUUUUGCCUCACUUUUUUCUUUUGUUUCUUCAUUAAAGAGUCAAAAUAUACAUCAUAUGUUACAAAAAAGGUAUAUAUGUAUACCAUAAUAAUCUUUCUUUAAUCAUUUGAAAAAAAAUAAUAGAAGCUGAAUUAAAAAUAUUUAACUGACUAAGAUAGGAUAAACAUAUAUAUCUGGCAUCCAGACUUUUAAGGUAUAUGUAUUUGAUUCAAAAAUAUAUUAAAUUGAAGUCUCAGUAUUUAUAAAACUGUUAGACACUCAUAUAUAUAUUUUUUAAAGUUUGAUAAUUUAACUAAAAUCAGGUGUUUUUGUUGUGUGCCACAUUGGAGUAUAUAUCCAAAGUAUAAUAGAUUGCGUUUCACUAGAAAGCAAUGAUAAUUAAGUAUUUAUGAGGUUUAUCAUGGAUCAUGAAUUUGAGUUACAUUUUGAUCUUUUUUUUACAACCGUGAGGUCCAAAAGUUUUGUAAGUCCAAAGAUCGAUUCUACGAAGUCAUGUAUCAGGGUAUGCAACUAAUCUAUCUAAAUAUCAUGGUUAAGUGAUCAAGAUGAAUUAAAUUUAUGACAAAAAUUUCAACUGGAAUCCUUUUGUCACUAAGUCAAGAUGACUUGAUGUUUUAUAAGGUUUUAUUUAUCAUGCAUCAUGAACUGGAAGCUUGAUGUUUCUGUCAACCAAAUAGAAAGCAAAAAUAAAAGCAGAAAAAGGCACUCCAGAGUCGGGCAGGCCUAAAGAAUAAGUUAUACUCUAAAAGAUGCAUGCAUUUUUUUUAACUCGGAAUAAAUCAGUUUGACAAUGAAAUCUUAAUAUUGAGGAAAGUUUUAGAUAAUUUAAUAAAUAAUAUGUAUCAGAGAUUUCGGAUGACGCGGUGUUGAUCAGUUCUCGGGAUAUACAACCUUAUGGAUUCACUGAAUAGAGAGGAAGGAGAAGUUGUCAGCUCAUUGACUCCUGUAAGCUAUCCUUUAACUAGCACUCCGCUCUUUUCAGUUAAUCUAGAAUUUAUUGAUCUAAUUCAAUAGUUAGGUUUAUAUUCGUAUAUCCAAUUAUCUAAGUUUAUACUAUAUCCUUUUUAGAAAUAAAACUAUUCGGAAAUAACUGGAGUUAGGGUUUGUAUUUGAUAUAUAUAUAUAUAUAAAUAUGCGUUCAAGUGUCUUUGUUAUGAGUUGACUAAAGUUGCAUUGUUUAGUUAUUAUGUAUUCAAUCAUUUUCAAAGCAUUUCUAAUGUAUUACUCUUUUUCAAAAUAAAGUGAUUAUGAAAUUAAGUUUUACUCUAAUUUUAUUUAUUAUUUCAUUAUAAAAUAAAAAAAUGUAUUAAAUUUUACUCUAAAUUUUAUUUUAAAAUAAAAAAAUAAAGUAAGAUUAAAGAUGCUUUAACGUUUGGUCCAAUAUUCCCAAUGGUGUAUGUUUUACUUAAUCUGCAUGAAUUUUCAAGAUUUAAAAAAAAAUAUUUAUCCAUAAAACCAUGCUUUUAUUGUGAACUACUUCAUAAGUUCUAUAAUAGAGAAUAUUUAAAAUUUUUAAAUAUAAAAAUGUUUUGCUAUUUGAAAUAAUUGAAUUUUAUUUUAAAAUGCUUGCUUAAUAAUAUUUUAUUGUAUUAUUUAUAAUUGUUUAAUUAUUUCAAACUGAUAUUAUUAAUACUAGUAUCUUUUAAAAUGUAGAUUUAUUAAAUUUUAUGUUUUUUACAAAAAAUAACUUAUAUUAUAGAAAGGAGGGAAUAUAUAACAAAUAUACUUGUGAAAAUUUGAAUUUUUUUAUUGAGAUUUAUAAAGUCAUAACAGGUGUGUGGCCUAAUUCGAAGCGUCUGUAGCCUAAUUCGAAGCGUCUGUAGCACCAAACUCUAAAAUGAUUACAAAACUGAAAAAAGCAAUAUCACGGCUAACAGCAAUAAAGAAAGGAGAAAUCAAAUACAAAUUUGGAUAAUUAAAAGAAGAAAAAAUACGAUAAAGGAUCCGAAUGUUCAAUAGAAAAAAGAAUAAUCAACGAAUUUUUCUGAAAAGAAUAAAAAUUAGAGACGUCACAAAAUGGGAAGACUCCGUUAAUACAUAUUCAGUCAAAAGACAAAAGAGUCUACUUACAUUUAACUAUUGUGUCAUUUAAAAGUAACGGCUGACGGACAAAGUAUAUUCUUCGUGGAAAAAGAGACCAACGUGUUCGUGUAUUUACAUUACCCUGAGGAAGUUACCUAUUCCCUCUAAAGCUGAACAAAAUAUCCUUAAAUUUUAAUUUAACGUUAUUCGUUUCGAUUUGAACUAAAAAAUCUGAACAUAUAUAACUCUAUCAAUCAAACCAAAUAUUAAUAUGCAAUAUCUAUUCAGAUAUUCUCUACAUUUCGGAACAGAUACAUAUCAGAUUUUUCAGUUUGGGUUCGAUUCAGAUUUCGGAUUACGGAUAUUAUGCCCAUGCCUAAACAUACCUCUCAGUUUGUCUCAACUACAUCAGCUAUACUACUAAAUUGACCUGUGUUACUGUGUACGUCAAUUUUUUUUUUUUGUAAAAGAAUGUACGUCGAACUUAUCGUCGCAAAGUAGUUCAUAUGUUACGACUAACUAUACCGGCACUCGAAUGUGAAUCAGAAUCUAGUAAAAAACAAUCUUGUCAAAUUUACUUCUAUAAGAAUAGUAUAAUAAUGUAUUGUAUAUGUAUAUAUGAAGAAAAAAAAACAAUCUUGUCAAAUUUACUUCUGUAAGAAUAGUAUAAUAAUGUAUUGUAUAUGUAUAUAUGAAAAAAAUUGCUAAACUAUUUCACUUAUAGAAAUGAAGUGUUUGAUAAUUUAUUUCAUUUUUUUCUUGCUUGUGGAAGUAUAACAAUGUCCCUUUUUAUCGCAUACUCAAAUCAUCCAUUUGGUCAUUAAAAAAAUAGUACUAUUCAACAUUCAAAGCCAUUAUAAGAAAGAAAGAAUUUAGGCAAUAAAAUUUGUCAAGCUGAAAAAAAAUCAUAUGCUAGACUUUAACCACUGCUUCAUACUAUAGCGUUGCUAUUAAUAUUCUUUUAGUGGUACCAACCAAAUCUCGUCCAAAUAAUCAGCUAAAAAGGGUCAAAAUAUCUUGCUAAGCAAAGAAUCUUGCCUUUUUCCUGGUUGAGCAGGAUCUAGAUCCAUCGAACCAUCACAUAAGAUAGUCGAAUCAAGCAUCUGAGUCUCUUUAUUUUCCUCCCCAAAUCCUUCACGGAUCUUAUACACCACGCGCAUCUACAUAUGUCACUCGAAUUUUAUAUUUUUUAUAUUAGUGUUAAAGUUAGGACAAGUUUUCUAAAGUAAAAACGUACGCAAAACCAAGUUCUCUCGUGACUAGAAAAUAAUCAGUUCUUUUGUUAUAUUCAAAACGAUUUUGAUUCAAAUAAUUUAAUCAAAACUAAAGCUAAGUUUAUUUGGAUUGUUACAACAAUCUACCAUAUAUCCGAUAAUAGGUUCGCUUAAUUAUCGAUAAGCUGGAAACUAAUUGAACUCAGACAAUAUUACUAGGCACGUUGUACAAUGAAACCGUUCUCUACAUACAAUAAAUGAAGCGGUUUAUAUUUUGUACUACAUCCUAGUUAUAAAAAAUCAAAACAUUUAACCACACAUACAUGGUGUUAAUUUUAGAAGUGUUAAAUCUUUAUGCACCAAAAAAAACCAGCAUCUAGUUGACAUCUAGACCAACGUUGAAUUGGCCUAGUGAUAAAAAAAAUGUUAGUAGCCUUUUCUUGCUCAGGUUCAAUCCGUAUUGAAAAAGAUUAUUUAUAUUGCUAAGAUUUCUAGCAAGUAGGUGAAAUCAUUUUUUUUCCAUUAAAAAAAGAUUGACAUAUAGAGAAUGUAGGGGCUAAAGGUUCCCGCGGUACAAUAGACUUUUUAAAAUCAAAUGUUUUUUUAGGAUAAAUAUAUAUUUUAAAAAGAAAAAAAUUAGAUUUUGAAACAAUUAUAAAUAUGAGUCUAAGAAAUUGUAAAAUUCUAAAAAAGUUUGUAAAGUUAUUUAUUCAUAUAAUAAUAUACAAACAAAAAUUUGCCUCGAUACAUUUUGUUCUUGAGUUCUUUAUUUUCUUUUAUAUUUGAUUUGUGCUUGUUUGCAACAUAUGAUCUAGUGAUAAGCAAUUCGAUGAAUUAAGUGAUCUGAGUUUGAAUUAAUUUCACGACAUUAACCAUUUAACUAUAUGCUUUUACAUUUAGAUUUGUAUUUUAAUUUUAAAGUAAAGUUCAUUAAUUAGUUAAAUCUAAAACAUCAAUCUUUAAAUGUAAACAUAAAAUUCAAAAUAUCAAAAUUUUAAAUAUAUAGAAGAGGUAGUAUUUAAGGCUGUGUAUCAUAACUAGUAUCCACAUAUUUGUUUUUUAGAUAAACAUGUUGGGCAACUUGGUCUUCCAAAUGGCAGCAUCACACCAUGCAUGCAUAACAUGCAUAACUCGAAAGAAUAAAGUAAGAAAAAAUAUAAACAAAUACUAAAUAUCAAAGAAAUAAAAAUAUGUCGGACUAAACAAUUUAUUUUCUAAAAAGUUGGAUCGGAUAUAUCUUAAAAAUUUAUUUGGAUACACAAAAAUCACUAAUCUUCCUAUGUAGAAAUGAAAAGCUUUGUUAUUUUACAGAUCGUGUCAGUCAUAUGUUUAUCACUAUACAAACAUCUAUAAUUUCAAGUGUUACGAUCCUUUUUAAGUGGGGGUUUUAAUCCAUAGCAAAAAAGAUACUGAAUUUCACAAAAUACAAAGAGAUAUAGUAAUAAAUACACAUAGUGAACAAAACAAGAGAGAUGGGGUAGAGGGAAUAAAUACAUCUGUUACCACUUACCAGUUUCAAUCAAAUAUAUAUACACAUUGAAAAUAGUAAUAUCUACUUAAGAAUUUAUUUUUUUUACUUAAGAAAAUAUUAAUAAUAUGAGUUAAAAUUUAUAGAAUAGAGUGACAACUGAACCAAACCAAUUCGAGAAGAUAUACGAACUUUAGUCUAAAAUCUCUUCUUUUUUUUUUUUUUUAGUCUAAAAUCUCUUACUCAAAAGAUAAAAAAAAAAAGCAAAAGAAAAAAGAAAAGAGAAUGACCUUUUUAAUGAAUUUGGGGAAUACAUACAUUCUGGUUUGCCACGUGUUAUAUAAACCAUUGGUGAGUUGCUUUGCACCCAGAGAUGCAGGCACAACCAUUUUGAGCAAAGGUGGUCCAGCUUGCUGUUAUAAGUCCGGACUCUCGGACCAUACACUUACUAAUAACUGCUCGUUAACUAACUCUGUGGUAUCAAGUUGUUGAUGGACUAAUGGUAGUAGGAUUGGUUCUUUUAAUGUCCCGAGCUUAAUCUAUUCUUUCUUAUACAGAGUUAUUAUUUAAAUUAGAAUAUCUAAAGCUGACUCCAAAUGUAGAGAAAAUUAAACUUUCACUGUUAACAAAAAAAAAGAAGACUAACUUGGUAUUUCUCAAACUUCUUUUUCAUUACAUAUGUUAAUUAUUUUUCAGACUUUGAUUUUGGCCGGCCGUCAUGAGUCUGUUAUUGGAUAUUUCUCUCUUUUCUUCUUCACGGAUUACGUAAACCCCAUGACAUACAACAUCGCUGUAGUCACUUUGUUGCCGACACAUAUAUUAUAAUCUUGUAAGUGGAUGGAUCUUGAAUGUAAAUAUAUUGCGAGUUUGAUUCUUCUGAUGCGGAAACUAAGUCACAUUGUUCUAUUCACGAUGGCUGCGGAUAAGUUCGUAUAAAACUCCUACUGCGGAAACUAAGUCACAUUAUUCUAUUCACGAAGACUGCGAAUAUGUUCGUAUGAAAAUCUAAAAGGACCUGUCGUGGACUCCAUUUCUUACCCGAGAGUUAGAUCCAUAUCUUUAAUAGACCCGAAUUUAUCUUUUUCUUUUUCAAAAAAUAAUCUUAUAAGGAUUUAUUAAAACUGUCGAUACGAGGGUGUAGUAGUUACUCUGAUUGUUAAAAUCUAUUUGCGAUUUUUUUUUGUUUAUGUUUUGAUGUGUUUGUGUGUCAAACAGUAGUGACAAACCACGAAACUUCUUCAGGUAUGCUUACAAACUCGAUCCUUAUAUGAUUUAUGAGAGAACAUCUAUCUUUAUAUCUUAGCUAGUGUACCUACCAUGAAUUUAAACUAAACUUUCGACCGACCAUAAAGAACAUCUAUCUUCCGAUCGUUUUUUUUUUUUUGUCUCACAUGAUAAUGUUUAGAAACUCACUAGAACCAUAUAUGACACUUGAAACCUAUAAAUUAGUCAAAAUUUUAUUUUAUAAUUAACUUUUAAUUAUAUAGCUAUAAUUUAUUAAAAUAUCAAUAUCGUUUUUGUUUAAAAAACGUUUUGGAGUUCUCACUGAUAAUAGUAACAUAUAUGUCUCUCAGAUAAUUUCAUUUUAGUUUUUAAAAUUAUUUUUUACUUUCUUAGAAAAAUAAACUACACUUAAAAGAACAAAUGUGAUUUGAGUCUCAAUUUUUUUUGAAAGUUUCUCAAAGAAGAGCUGUUUUUAGUCUCUCUUAAUUAAUCAUUUAUACUUAAUUUUUAAUCAUUUAUAUUAAAUUUAAUCAUGAGAAACUCACUUAACAUACCUAGGACUAGGCUAAUAAACCAAACCCAAAAACCCGACCGAACCCAAAAACCUGAUCCGAUGAAAAUAAGUCUGAACCGAUUCGAACCCGACAUAAAUACUGAAUGCAUCUUGUUCUAUGAAAUUUUUGGGCUACGGCUAUUAUCCGAACUGAACUCGAACCUAAAUGGAUAUCCGACCGAACCCAAAACAUUCAAAAUCUCAAAAGAGAACUUGUACCAAACAUGAUCUUUAAUUUCUAAUAUGUAUCAAAAUAUAUUGAACAUCUAAAAUAAUUAUCUAUUACAUGAAGCUUGAUGGUUGAAGAAGGCGGUUGAAGCUUAUUUUUUUUUAGAUUUUGGUUUUGUUUUCAUUGAAUAAUGUUUCUCAUUUUAUGAGAAUAUGGUUUUCGUUUUAUGCUUUCAUUUAUUUGGUUUUCUUUCUAUCGAUAACUAUGUUUAUCUUUCCUUUGAUUUUGAAUGAUCAUGUUUGAUGUUAACUUAUGUUUUGGUUAUAAAAUAAAUACAAAUCAGGUAUUUUAAAACCGGUGAACCGAUUUUACUUUGAUUUUGGUUACAAAAUAAAUACAAAUCGGAUACAUUUAAACUGAAGAAUCAAUUGGGACCCAAAUCCAAAAAUACAAUGGGUUGUACCGGUUCUUUGAAUAUUUACUAACCUCGGCCGAAUCCGAUAGAACCCGAACCGGUCCCAAACCAAACUUUCUAUAAUCCGAAUGGAGUUAGUUUUGAUAAACCCAAAAAACGAGAACUGAUUGGACAAAACCGAAACCCGAUCGGGAUUCCGAAUGCCCAUGUCUAAACAUACCAAUGUGGAUGCUCUAACGUUUAUAAUGAUAGACCGAGUUACAGUAAUAACAAUAAUGUACAGUUUACCAGAUCGCAAUUCCUAUUAAUAUUGAUACCUGAGUUUAUAAAUCAAUUUAAACCUAACACAAUAAUAAUUGAAUAUUCCCGUGGCCAGAAAAAUGGCAUAUAUGUUUGGUCCCGUUUCUCUAGAAGUUAAAUUUCAAAUCUAGCUGGAUUUCUUAUUUUCUAAUCUUGAUUUAUUUUCAAGUUUUGUUUGAGGUUGUUAAAGAAAAGAGUUACCUAUAUGAGGUUGACACACACUAGACUAUUUUGAGUAUUUCCAAAUAUUUUCGAUUGUUCUUUUCCUGAAAAGUCAUUAUUUCGGAUUGACCCUAUUAAUUCCUUGACGAUGUAGAUCACCUACCAAACACCUUUGUUCUCUGCAAAAAGAUAUCCACCCAACCCAUUUUGUUAUAGAUUCAAAUCACACAACGACGUUAGUAAAGUAGUAAACUUGUAAAUACAGUUAGGAUGAGUUUAUGUAUCAAAAAUUCAGUUCAAAACUGAAAAGAAUUGGUAGCAAAGAUUCAUUGACACAAAAUGAAUGAGCUAAAGUGCGCAUGAAAAGUUCAAAAAAAAGUCCGCAUGAACGAUCCCAAGACAAGGGCUAAUACGCUCUAUUCUUAAUUUAAUCCCAUAUGCAAUAAAUUGAUUUGCAUGUUAGAAAGCGGACGAUGAACUAAGACCAAAUGAAUAUGUGGUGAGCUAAGCUCUCCGAACUACACUUAUAAUUCACGUAUGAGAUUAGUCGGUAGGUUUAUAGACUUAGUCGGUCGGUAACACAAGAUUUUCGCAUGCAGGAAACUCCGGUCUCGUGUAUUCAAUUUAAAGUUUGAGAUGAUUUGAUUUUUAAUGAAGUUUUAGAUAGUUUUAAUAAAUUAAAGAAUUCUAAAUGAUUUUUAUUAAGCCAUUCUAGAACAUAUCAUCUAAACCACGAAAUUUGAUUUUUUUUUUUAAAUUAAGAAAUUCCAUCCAAACACACUCUUAAAUCAUUUGAAAACUCUAAAAUUUUACAAUUUAAAAUAUUUUCAAGAGUAAAUUAGCUCAAUAUACAAAAAGAAGUGGGAUACCAUAGAGUUGAGGGAAAAUGGUGAUGAUGGGGGGAAAAAAAUUGGGGGGAAAUAGGGUAUGGAGUGCAAAUAGGGUAUAUGUUGUGUAUAGGGAGUACAAAUUCUCUAUUUUCAAUAACAAUAGAUUUCAGAAUACUUUAUAAAAAUAUCAAAUUCAAUAACAAUGGAUUUUAAAUGAAUUUUUAAAAUUCAUAUUUGAAUAACAAUAAAUUUGUUAUUUUAAUGCAAAUCACCUCAGACCUCCUUCAAAUACAUUCUCCACAGCGUUACUUCAGAAUGAGCUAGAAUUUUUUUUUUGAAUAACAUAAAAAUCCCAAAAUGUAUUGGAACGUAAAACAAUAUCUGUUAAAGAUACUCUGUUAUUAAUGUAAAGAUAAUGUAACUACAGUAAAAACUCUUUAAAUUUAUAAUAUUGAGACUUUACUAUUUUAUUAAUUUAACACUAUUUUUAAAAUAUAUUUUUUGUAACAUAAGAAAAUAAUUAAACUAUUAUAAUAAAAAACUAUUAUUUUUAUUAUAUUAUUUAGUGUAUAUAAAAUAUUUAUUUAUAGGAUUUAGAUGAGUUUUAGAUAAAAUUUUAUUAAAUACUAUCAAAAUAUUUUGAAUUUAAAAAAUAGAAAUAGACGCUAUUGUGAAUAUAAAAUAAAAAUAUAUAAAUUUCUGUUUAUCCUUAUAGUAAUUGCAUAUAUAUAAAUUAUUAAUUUGUAAAUUUAAUGGGACCAUAUUUUUAUAUAAUAUUUUUUAAAAACAAUUAUCUUAUAUUUUAUCGCUGAACCUAUUCAGAACUAACUUUAAAUUAAUUUGUGUUAUUUAUUAAUUUAUCGAAUAUUAUAUAGAGUAUACUGUAUUUUGAUCAUAAUUUAUCUUGUGUGAGGUCUUUUACAUACUUUAGUACUAGCAGUUAAUUAUUCCCUACAUAUAUAUUAUAUGUAUAAGGUCUUUUGAUGUUUGAUUAUACAGAGGUUCAUAUCUUUCCGAAUAUCUUUUUGGAGUAUUGUUUGGCAUAUAAAAUAUGGUACCAGUUAUUCCCGAUCAGAGAAUAUAAAAAAAGUAUUCAAAUUCUACUUUGAAAUCUCAAAGAGGAAAACAAACAAACAAGAGAAAGAUUAUCAUCACUGUCCUAGUUUAUGGACCAUAUCAUCACUGUCCAAGUGCAUGGACCAAAUGGGAUCGCGGCCUCCACCACUUGCUAAAAAUAUACGGUUCAUGUUUAGAUUAAACCGGUCGAGCCGCGUGUUACAUGUAACAACGAUGUACCGUAUACUCGCAAGAUUUACAAGACCAUACACUUGUAUUAUUUUCUUAUUUUUUUUUUUCAUUUAGUCUAGCUUUUCAAGGAAUAAACUAGAUUAUAUUGAAUUAUGAAGCACAUGAUGCACAUAUAGUUAAUUACUAGCUUUUAGACAACACUGGGAAUGGCUAAAUAUCUAGAUAAGAAUAAGAUAUAUAAAACGAAUUUUCAUCAUGGGCACCGAAUUUAUCAUACAGUGUCAUACAUUAAAACAACAAAACGAUAACAUUUUCAUCCACUAGACUAAUUAUGAGAAGUUCGGCAUGUUUAAAUAGUUACUUCAUCAUUGGAGACUAGAGCAUGCUCAUAGAUCCUCUAACUUAGGAGCUCAUCUCAUUGCUAAAUGUGUGACUAGAGAGAGGAUCAUGGCAAUCAUAUAUCGCUUCAAGUUUUUUUUUUUUUUUGGUAAAAAUGUUAAGAUUGCAUUACCAUUUUAAAGUUUGUGACAGAAGUUACAGAGAAUCACUAGUAGCAGAAGACAAACGCCAAAAAGAAACUACAACACAACAACAAUUACAGUAAGAAAAACGCGAGAAUGAGCUGAACCUAGAAGUAGAAGAAAGAACACACGGGAAGAACUUGAAAGGGUUGCUAAGAGCGAGCAGCACGCAAGAUCGAACUCCAAAGGAAGGCGCCAGUUAAAACAUGAGUCGCUUCAAGUUUCCGUUCUUGGCUUAAGGAUCUCUUUGUCAGUGAAGGUGGCUAAACCACUUGUAUUUUUUUUUGGCUGGUUUAUUGUAUGAUUCCUCUUGAUCUGUCUUUUUUGUUUCUUUGAACCCUUGCGGGUAUCUACUCUUCAGACGAAGAAAUAGUUACUUCAUCAUGAGUCAUGACAAUCGGCUAAUUAAUCAAUAUUCCAAAAUAUGGAGAGAAAUGGCUCUACAUAGAACAAUACAAUUAAUCUCAAAAUUAUCAUUCAGAAAGUAAAACUUCACUCUCAAAACCAAUAUUUAAGACGCUUAAUAGUAUCUAAUUAAUAUAUAAUCUCAAAAGAUAACAAUAAUAGAUCUUGCGCUUGUAUGAUGAAUACAAAAAAAUAUAUUUAUUAAAAUCAAAUAGACGCCCACUAACUCGUCCCCAACAACAACUAUAUAUGACUAUACAAACUAAAUGAAAGUGCAGUGGUAGCAUAAUCCUAAACCUCCAUUCAUCUUUUAAAUAUAUCCAAAACCCGAAACAACUAAUUUCAUGAGGAUAUCCAUUGAAAAUCUCUGUUGAAUGCUGAUUAUUUAAAUCAUGUCUACCUAGAAACAUAAGAUGUUACAUAAGAUGUUACAGAAAAUAUCACUAUCAUAAGCCUUUUUUUUAAAUCACUAUUUCAUAUUACAUUUAAAUAUUAAGAAUACAUCCAUAUAAAACGUGUUUUAACCCAUUUUAUUUUCAUGAACUAGGAAACCCGUUAUCAGUUUUCUUAACAGUCAUCACUUAUCACUAUAGUGUCUUUUUUUUUCGAAAAACGCUUUCUAUUUAAAUGAAAGUAACCAUUACAGCUAACUUAUAGUGUCUUCUAGUGUAAAUAGUUUAUAAGAAUGAGUUUUUUUUUGUCAAAUCUUCUUCGAAACUAUAGGAAUCAUAUGUACAUAUGAAUCUAAGUGCUCUUUUUACUAAUCAUAUUUGAUCAUAUUCGCAUGCAAGGGUAAGUGCGCGUACGAGUGACUGUGAAAAAGAUGUACACAUUCACAACAAAAUAUGCCGUGACGAAUUUGGCCAAAAGAUUGUGAGAAUAAUCAACACUCGUUGUGUAUAUAAAGUGCUUUACAUGCAUCUGCAUUUACAAUCCACACAUCCUAUAUAAACAGAUUUAUUGAAUUAAUAUAAAUCUCUCAAAUCGAGGAGAACCCUCGCAACAAAUGUUUAUGUAGUUAUGAAUCACACACAUACAUGCAUAUAUAUGAUGAAUGAAUAUGUAUAUAUAUAUAUGCGUACUUAUAUAGAGCGUGGAUGAUUGAUCAUACAUGAUCAUGAUAAUGUCCAAGGUAUGGGACAGUGGCGAUACUUGCGAAUGGCAUGUUUUGAUUCGAACCCACCCUAACAAGCACAACAAUGACAAUAAUAAUUAAUAGUAUAUAAUAAAAAGCUUUGUAAUAAUGUCCUUUGUGGAAUUUUAAUUCCAAUAUUCUCAAUUAUUGACCACAUAAAAGAAAAGAGAAUAGAGAGAAAUGCCCAUUUUCCAAAUUCCCGAAUUCCAUAACCACUACGAUGUUCGAUUUUAUGUGCUGAUAAGAAUAACUUUCGUUUCACAAUCUUUUCACUAUUUACUAUUUCGGAUCAUAAUGUCUUGAUUUGAUUU